CAUCCAAAUUCCCUUUAUUGUGGUUUUAUUGGAUAGUAAACGGGGAUAUGGGGAAUUUCGUUAAUUCAUUCAUAUACAUCGCUAAUUAGAGAUCGAAACAUUUCAUUACAUUUUGUUGUUUACAUUAGAACGUUAUGUUUUACAACAGCAAACGACGCCGUUUCCACAACUUCACACCCUAAGCUCGCGCUCUCUGUAUAUGAAUUGCUCCUCAAAAUUGAAACUCGGCGUUCUUUUUUCAUCGAACCUAGCCCUGGGAUCGUGUUAGGCCUCUCAUUUGUCUGCAACAAUGGCCGAAAACUCUGACAAACGACGAAAAAAAGAAGCUGUCGCCGGACAGUACACCGCCGAUCUCAGCAAACUCCGCCGUGGCCGGUACUCCAACUCGUCUUUUCCACUUUUGCUUUUUCAUCUCUCCUGAAUGGCAUAGAUUGGUCUUACUGAAAAAUAUUCGGUUUGUUUCUCGAGAAAAAGGGGAAAAUGCUUAAUGUAGGAGUAGCUUCCGUUAUGAAGCAGUUUCCUUUGCUUUCUCGAGAACCAAACAGAGGGUUUGUGGAGAAGGGAAAGUCACUUUUUGGAAAUACUUCUCUUGCAAGCAUUUUUUUUUCCUCUCGAAAGUGGAAUAGUGCCUCCAAAAUGUACUGCAUUUUCAAUGCUUUGGAGAAUGUGUUGUUCAAUUGAUUAUAGUGCUUGUAUUGGUAGUAAUUUUGUGAUCGUUUAGAAAUUGAUGGCCAAAUCAGAGGAAUGGGAGCGGUUUUACAUUGAAAGAGAUGUUUCAUUCUUGCAAACUUUGUGGCGAAGAAACGAAAGGAUGGAUACAUAAGGUCAAUAGGAAGAGGUCAUGGCAUACUGAUGAUGAUGAAUUUGAAGGGGAAGAGGAAAAUGUAAAGGAAUUUGUUAAGAAUUGUAAGAAAAAGUUCCAGUUCAAGUUCAUGUGGAAGUGGAAGGGGAGGGAAAAAUAGUAAGUCAACUCACUCUUACCAUGAAAAGACCAAAGCAAGAAAGUCCUAAUGCAUAUCAUACAUAUACGGUGUUGCAAAUUAGAAAUGAUGGUGAGAUGAAGCAACUGACAAUCAACAAUUCCAACAAGAAAAAGGCAAGAGACUAGGUGUGCGCAAGUAUAUUGAUGUGGAUGUGUGAUGCUGGAGUACCACUCGAUGCAGUCACUUACCCUAGUUUUCAAGGCAUGAUUAAUGCCAUUGGGCAAUAUGGUGUAGGUGUGAAGCCCCCAACUUAUUAUGAGGUAAGGGUUCCUUUCCUGAGGAAAGAGGUGACUCUCACACAAAAAUUAAUGAACAGGCAUGAGGAGGAAUGGGCAAGAAAUGGAUGUUCCAUAAUGUUUGACGGGUGGACUGAGAAGAAAGAAAAAACUUUUGCAAAGUUUCUGGUAAAUUGUUCCUGAGGCACCUUAUUUAUUGAAUCAAUUGUUGCUUCCUCAAUUAUCAAAACUGGUGAAAAAAAUGUUUAUACUGCUUGAUAGCUGGGUGGAGCGUAUUCGAGAAGCAAAUGUGGUUCAAGUUAUAUCAUAUGGUCAUUCAAGUUAUGCAUUGGUAGGUUUAUAGCAAAAAGAGAAACAAGCUAGCACAAGAUUGUCUGAAUGAUUUGGUGUUCAUAAAAAACAAUCAAGCCUUCAGGAGAUGAUAUAAUGGGCGUAACACCAAUGACCCACUUUCCUUGAGAGAAAUAGAUGAAAACAAUGAAUGGUUGGUUGGGAGGAUGGAUGAUGAAGUGCCUGAAGAAUGUGAAGAUGAAUUUGUCUUUGAGGAUGAUACUUAGACAUGUAAUCGUGUCACUACAGCUGUGGCCAAAUUUGAUACUGGAAUUCAAUCAAGAUUAGCACUAAAUCCAGAUGAUGAAGAAGCCGGCCGCCAGUUUGGAGGAGAUAGAAGGGGAAGAUGAUGAAGGCUGUGAAUCAUAUACAGGUAUGGUAAAUCCCUGAGCUUGAGUGCCACUGAAAUUUUUGCAAUCAAUCAUACCCUUGGCAGUUUGAAUUCAUCAGUACUGAACCUGGGACCAGUCUUAUGCAGUUUGAAAUGGGUGAGUUAUGAGUUAUGAUUCUGGUGUUUCUUUCAGUGAGCUGUUUGAUGCCUUCUUUUUUUUUGCUGUGUUCAUUAUUUGCAACAUUGUUUGGAAAAGAUCUUUUGGUAUAACUCAUCUUAUAGUAGGGGCCUUUAACUUUACCCUUUUUUUUUUUUUUUGAGUUAUGCACAUGAGACACCAGUACAGUUGAUCUUAUGAUAUUGUCCCAAAUGUCCCCUUCUUUUGCAAAUGGGUAAAACUUGUUUGAGCCUUUUUCUUCUGAACCACUGAGUUUGCGGUUUCACUAUUUCUUUGAAGAACAGGUUUGGUUGUAUUACUGUGCUCCAUGUUUGCCAAUAGAAGUGAAAGAAGAAUUUCCAAAAUUUAUCUUGGAAAAACAUUUUCAAGGUCACAUGUUUUUUAAAUGUUCAAAGAGUCGGUAGAGUUGAUCUUUUAAUAUUGUCCACACAUGUCCCUUCUUCUUUUGCAAAUGGGUAAAACUUAUUUGAGCUUUUUCUUCUGAACAACUGAGUUUGCGGUCUGGCUAUCUCUUUCAAGAACAUGUUUGGUUGUGUUACUCUUCUCCCUGUUUGCCAACAGAAAAACUGAGAGAAGAAUUUCCAAAAUUUAUCUUUGAAAAACAUUUUCGAAGUGAUAUAUUUUUUAAAAUGUUUGAAGAGUCCUGAUAUAGGUACCCAUCAGAAAGUGAGAUCAAUCAGAACAUGUCAUAUCUAUAAUUUAAUCUUAGUGCUUGAUACCCCAUUUAUGUCUCAUUGAUUAUUAUUGAUAUGUAAAAUUGGUCCAAUUCUUUUCAAUUUUGAUUUGAUCCAUGGUCUUAUUUUCCUUUAUUAAAUGAUCUAGAUUUUAAAGAAAAAUCUGUGAUUCAAACUUGUUUAUUUGUUUUCCUAAUCACAUGAUUGUGAUGGUAAAAUGAGUGGUGUGAUGUGGGAGGUGUUGUUGCUUUGAAAGUGGAGCGAUGAUGAGUCAAAAUCAGAACAGUUCAUCACGUGUGCUGCCUUCCCAGGUUUAGAGUUGGCACAGGCAGAGUAGGGAUUUGGGACCAUGAACCUGCAACAAUCAAACACUAAUAAUAUAAAACCAACUGUAUCCAUUAAUGUUCUUUGCCAUCA